UACGUAGGUGGCAAGCGUUGUCCGGAUUUAUUGGGCGUAAAGCGAGCGCAGGCGGUCCCUUAAGUCUGAUGUGAAAGCCCACGGCUCAACCGUGGAAGGUCAUUGGAAACUGGGGAACUUGAGUGCAGAAGAGGAGAGUGGAAUUCCAUGUGUAGCGGUGAAAUGCGUAGAUAUAUGGAGGAACACCAGUGGCGAAGGCGACUCUCUGGUCUGUAACUGACGCUGAGGCUCGAAAGCGUGGGGAGCAAACAGGAUUAGAUA
rnacentral:rRNA from 1 species